rnacentral:rRNA from 1 species
GACGAACGCUGGCGGCGUGCUUAACACAUGCAAGUCGAACGAAGAGCGAUGGAAGCUUGCUUCUAUCAAUCUUAGUGGCGAACGGGUGAGUAACGCGUAAUCAACCUGCCCUUCAGAGGGGGACAACAGUUGGAAACGACUGCUAAUACCGCAUACGAUCUAAACUCGGCAUCGAGGAUAGAUGAAAGGUGGCCUCUACAUGUAAGCUAUCACUGAAGGAGGGGAUUGCGUCUGAUUAGCUAGUUGGAGGGGUAACGGCCCACCAAGGCGAUGAUCAGUAGCCGGUCUGAGAGGAUGAACGGCCACAUUGGGACUGAGACACGGCCCAGACUCCUACGGGAGGCAGCAGUGGGGAAUCUUCCGCAAUGGACGAAAGUCUGACGGAGCAACGCCGCGUGAGGGAUGACGGCCUUCGGGUUGUAAAGCUCUGUUAAUCGGGACGAAAGGCCUUCUUGCGAAUAGGGAGAAGGAUUGACGGUACCGGAAUAGAAAGCCACGGCUAACUACGUG